AAAUCAACAAAACGAUUAUCCUCUAUAGUGAGUAGUGAUAUAAUGAU
rnacentral:guide_RNA from 1 species